rnacentral:rRNA from 1 species
CGGCGAGUGAAGCGGCAACAGCUCAAAUUUGAAAUCUGGCCUCGGCCCGAGUUGUAAUUUGCAGAGGAUGUUUCUGGCGCGGUGCCUUCCGAGUUCCCUGGAACGGGACGCCACAGAGGGUGAGAGCCCCGUAUGGUUGGACACCAAGCCUGUGUGAAACUCCUUCGACGAGUCGAGUAGUUUGGGAAUGCUGCUCAAAAUGGGAGGUAAAUCUCUUCUAAAGCUAAAUACCGGCCAGAGACCGAUAGCGCACAAGUAGAGUGAUCGAAAGAUGAAAAGCACCUUGAAAAGGGGGUUAAACAGUACGUGAAAUUGUUGAAAGGGAAGCGCUUGUGACCAGACUUGCGCCGGGCGGUUCAUCCGGGGUUCUCCCCGGUGCACUCCGCCCGGGUCAGGCCAGCAUCGGUUCUCGUUGGGGGAUAAGAACGGCAGGAACGUGGCCCUCCCUCUGGGAGGGUGUUAUAGCCUGUCGUACGAUACCCUGAUGGGGACCGAGGUUCGCGCUCCGCAAGGAUGCUGGCGUAAUGGUCAUCAGCGACCCGUCUUGAAACACGGACCAAGGAGUCGUCCAUUAGAGCGAGCGUUUGGGUGUCAAACCCGCACGCGUAAUGAAAGUGAAAUUAGGUGAGAGCUUCGGCGCAUCAUCGACCGAUCCUGAUGUUCUCGGAUGGAUUUGAGUAAGAGUUUUAACGGACGGACCCGAAAGACAGUGAACUAUGCUUGUAUAGGGUGAAGCCAGAGGAAACUCUGGUGGAGGCUCGCAGCGGUUCUGACGUGCAAAUCGAUCGUCAAAUAUGAGCA